GCUUCCUUGGCACAGUUGGUAGUGCGUAGGUCUCAUACCAUGUUAUGACUGCUGUGUCAGCAGAUAGAUCCUAAGGUCGCAAGUUCGAUCCUUGCAGGGAGCA